CCUACGGGGAGCUGCAGUGGGGAAUAUUGGACAAUGGGCGAAAGCCUGAUCCAGCCAUGCCGCGUGUGUGAAGAAGGCCUUCGGGUUGUAAAGCACUUUCAGUGGGGAAGAAAGCCUUGGGGCUAAUACCCUCGAGGAAGGACAUCACCCACAGAAGAAGCACCGGCUAACUCCGUGCCAGCAGCCACGGUAAUACGGAGGGUGCGAGCGUUAAUCGGAAUUACUGGGCGUAAAGCGCGCGUAGGCGGUCUGAUAAGCCGGUUGUGAAAGCCCCGGGCUCAACCUGGGAACGGCAUCCGGAACUGUCAGGCUAGAGUGCAGGAGAGGAAGGUAGAAUUCCCGGUGUAGCGGUGAAAUGCGUAGAGAUCGGGAGGAAUACCAGUGGCGAAGGCGGCCUUCUGGACUGACACUGACGCUGAGGUGCGAAAGCGUGGGUAGCAAACAGGAUUAGAUACCCCUGUAGUC
rnacentral:rRNA from 1 species